UGUUCCUGACGUUAUACGUGAGGACGGUGUUGUACCGCUGGCUUACCCCAAACUGAGAAACCAGUCCGCGGUUUGAGAGUGAGGGCUCUGGGGUCCUACAGGCAUGGAUUCGAAUCCCGAUUUCUUCAGCUGCUAGCUCCGGGACCUCGGACAGAGUGUGGAGACCAUGGCUGUAGCUCCAGCAACCGUCCUUGUGUGCGAAAGGAAGCAGCGCUGUGCUGCUAGUGUUUUAACAAGUUCUCCGGCGGGAGGGACCCUGAUUUGAAGCAUUUGCCCAUUUCCGUGGUGUAAAUAUGCUCACCGUGGCUGAUAUCAAGCUGCCAACUGGAAGUCACUGAAGAUGGCGUUGGGAAGAGAUGCACACAUGAAGUAGCUGGCUCCAGCUGUGCACUGGUGGCCGUGUGCAACCACAAUAGCAGCCUGGGUCUUUGACACCGUGGAGCCUCCAUAGUAACUCUGAAUUUCCUCCCUCCUGGCUUUCUUCAUUUAAGGGGAAAAUAAACUUCUUGCUUGUUCAAGAACUCUAUUUGGCUUGGCUUGGAACAACAUUGAAAUACAGUCACAUCAUCGGGGAAGAGGCGGUGUGAGGGAGAGAACAUCCUCAUCGACCUUGAUGUAUCUUUUACCUGCCACUGUCCCAGUGAUGGACAUUAGGUUGUCUCCAGCUUCCUGCAAUCACCAAGGAUGCUGCAGGUGGUUUUUACAUCCCAGGUGCACUCAAAGAAUGCCAUACUAUGCAGGAAAUAAAAUGGAUGAAUCGGAACUUCAUCUACAGAUACCGUCACAAAUUGUCUUGGAAACAAUAUAGGAUAAAAAAAGCAAGUUACAGGAGGAUAGCUAAGAUAAGCACAUUAGAAGAAAUGUUCAUAUCUAUUAAAACAGAUCUAAAGCACAUUAGAAGAAAUGUUCAUAUCCAUUAAAUCGGAGAAUCAGGCGUCUUCUUGUUCUUUAUUCUUUUCUGUGGAGUUAGAAGUAGUUCAUGAUGAAUUUUUAAAAUGGGAAGUGAAGAAGUGAAAUGAGAAGAGACGAAAAAGAGGAGAAAACGAAGAACUCUGUUUUACUGUAGAAGUUAUUUCACCUAAUAAAAAAUACGUAUUUUAAACUUGCACAAUGCUGUAUGUCAAUUACAUCUCAAUAAUGCUGGAAAAAAAUACAUAUUGAUGUCUCUGAUGUUUGAGUCAAUUUCAAGGUCUGUGAAGCAUUGUUUAGAUAGUUACAUAAGUCAUUAAAAAAGUCUAGUGUGAAAGUUAAUUCAAAAUUGUACCAGUUGAUGUGAAUGCAUCGACAGUAAAGGUUACUAAGCUUCUUUCUUAAGGUGAAGCUCGGUGGAAACUAAUUGUUUAGAAUGAAAAGUUCCAUUUGUCUCUUGUGGUUGCAAGAAAGUUUG